UAGCUCAGUGGUCCGAUAACAAUCCUUAGACCUACAUUAACCUAUGUCAGUGCCCCAUCCUGAGUGUGAAGUGGUGCAAGAGAGGAGAGAAGAGAGGACCUUGGGCCUAAUGAUAGCCAAGCACCUACCCUGUACAAUUGGCACAUAAAAGAACUACGACGGAAAUCCAGAUGCAAAACCUGGGAACAAAAUAAGAUACCUAUUCAAUCGCAAAGUGCUCCCUCUGCCUUGCUUUUCUGGGACCCCAAAACAUUCCUGUUGUGAAAACUGCAAGAAAAAACCCUGGCUCUGCCAAACAGAAUUCAACCAAGGACCUCAAGAUGUUAUGCUGAGUAUUACAUUGAAAUAAGGAAGAAUAAUAUUUAUCUAUUUAACUCGUUAUGAUGAAUGCAACCCCAUAAAUGCUGUAGAUGGAAGAUUAUUGAAGGAUGGAGAAGGGAACAAUUUAAUUUGCCGAGAGUUUUAAGCAUUUGAAUGAAGACGCAACCCUGGAAGAAUCUGGGUUAAAGAGGUGCUAAAUUGAGCAGAAAGCCAGCAGGGCUACGGAGAUUGGAGGAAAGGGGACUAACUCAUCCCCACCAUCACAGACUCACAUUGGGAUUGGUAAACAGAGGAGGAAGAAGAGACUGUACUCCGUGACCUUGUGUGAAGGUACUCAGUGAUCUCCAGUACACUGACCCACUGGAUACUUACCCAUGGUCUGGGAGAGACAGACAUAAGCACAGGAAAAUGAAUGAAAAACACAUAAGGAGAAAGAAGGAAUGAGGAAGAAGAAGCAAAAAAGACAAGACCUGAACUUUAGAAAAGAGAAUCCUGCAAUAUGCAACAACAUGGAUGAACAUUGAAGACAUUAUGCUAAAUAAAAUAUGCCAGGUAAAAGAUGAUGCAUCUCCUGCUUACCACCAUUGCUACAAGAUGGAUACAUAAUUUCCCCCAAAAUUUUCAUCUACAGUAAAAUCUCUUAACAAUCAAACAAAAAAAAUCUCCUUUUGAAACUGUGCAAAAUA